rnacentral:rRNA from 1 species
UGGGGAAUUUUGCACAAUGGGGGAAACCCUGAUGCAGCGACGCCGCGUGAUUUAGAAGGCCUUCGGGUUGUAAAAAUCUUUUCUAUGGGAAGAAAAUGACAGUACCAUAGGAAUAAGGACUGGCUAAUUACGUGCCAGCAGCCGCGGUAAUACGUAAGGUCCGAGCGUUGUCCGGAAUCAUUGGGCGUAAAGGGUACGUAGGCGGGUAAGCAAGUUAGAAGUGAAAUCCUGUAGCUCAACUACAGUAAGCUUUUAAAACUGCUCAUCUUGAGGUAUGGAAGGGAAAGUGGAAUUCCUAGUGUAGCGGUGAAAUGCGCAGAUAUUAGGAGGAAUACCGGUGGCGAAGGCGACUUUCUGGCCAUAAACUGACGCUGAGGUACGAAAGCGUGGGUAGCAAACAGG